GCCGUAAUGCAGCCGCGCCGUUGCGCGCGCCGGUCACAAGCCCGGAGAAAUGCAGAGUGAGGA
rnacentral:ribozyme from 2 species